rnacentral:misc_RNA from 1 species
GAACCUAUGGUUACUUGGCUCCAGGUGAUUCUACUGAUCCAACUUAAUUAAAAAUAGAUUACAUAUUGAAAUUUAUGACAAAAUUUUCAUUACAAUUUUUGAGUGGUACAGUUCUCCAUUAUAGCAUUAACUUCUUUUAGCAAUUAUUCAAUAAUGCUUUAAAGGUUCUACACUGGUAUUGAACAAUGUGCAACUUUGGCUGGUUCUAAAGAAAUAUAUAUAUUAUUUGUAUGGAAAUGUAACUAGUUACAGUAUCUGUAACAGACUGCAAUAGAGCUUAAUAUAAUAAUAGAUCUAUCCAUUAUUCCACUCUGUUUAUUUUUCAUUUUGCUUUCUUUGCUGUUUGAACAGUUAAUCAAUAUAUCUUCAAUUAUCACUUGUUUCCUUUAGUAUAGUCAUUUGUGUCUUAUUAAGUAUUGAUUUAUUUAUUCAUCAAUUUUCAUUCAAGUUCAUUGAUGCUUGUGACAGAA